AUGUUUUUCCUAAUAUUUAGAGGUGUAACUGAAUACUCCGGGGAAUUUUUGUGGCCAUUGAUAUGGUUCAUUACUGGAGGCAUUCACACUGCUUUCUACCAUAAUGUUGCUGCCUGGUUUAUUGAAACCAUAGUGAAGUCAACAAUGCAAACCUUUGCACAGGGACUGACACGGGCGAUCCAUGGUCUACAGUACUAAAUAAGACGAAGAAAACAAGAAAAAAAAAACAGGAGACAAGAUUCUUAUCUGAACAAAAGGCAUUAUUGUGAUUGUGUCUUCCUUACACUUACUAGUCCAAUGCAAAGGACUAUCAACCCUAUUUCAUUUUCCAGUGCAUUCUUGAGUUCUUUUAUUGACUGUGACAUGUCUUGCAUUCUUAUGAGUGGGAUAGCCAAGUCUUGCUUGGUCUGGUACCACACUUCUAGAGAGCUGCCUCUUUGUUGGCAGAGAGCUGCAGAGCUUUGUUCCCUGCUCAGAGUUUGAUGUAGAUAUAAUUAUUUUGUGAAAUGCAGUAAGCAAGACAUGCAUACUUUGAUCUCUGUAAAUACAGCAUGACAAUUUUAAAAACUCAGGUUCUUUAAGAGACACAACUUUCCAUCUUUCACAAGUAAAGACGAAUGUAUACAACAACUACUGUUCCUAAGCUUUUUGCUAUUGCCAAUUAUGUCAGAAGUAAUAGGUUUCUUAACAGAAUCAGGAAUAUUAAAUAAUGUUUCAACAAUUUCUAGCCAAUUUCUGGACCUUUAAUUGAAGUUGCAGGUAAACAUGAGUUUAAAUUCAAAGACCAUGGGAUGGGCACUUGUUCUGUCCUUCUUACUUUGAAGGGAGAUGGCAUCAUCUAUAGUAGAGGGACAGUGUGAAUAUCACUGAGUCAGUACCACCUGAAACCAUAACAGUUACUCUCACUGAAGUUUCAGUCAAUCCUUAUGAAGCUGUUAAUUCUUGCAAAGUUAGCAACUUAAUAAGUUAGGAGAUAUAUGUAACUGUGUUCAUUUGUCUAUGAGCUUACAUCUGUUCCUAGUGCAGUCUAAAGUGGGCUGUAAGGUAAGUAAGAUGUUGUAUCACGUCUUGCUACCUGGAUUGCUUGUUUGAUGCUGAGAAAUGCCAAUUUUGAAUUCAUGGUCAGAAGGUAGCUAUCAUUUAAAUAUAGCUAAUGUUUUAGAAUUUUUGUUUUAUAUGUAACUGAACAAAAUAGUUACAGACACACACACAUACCAGGAUGAUGAUAAAUAAAAAAACAAUGUGCCAGGAUAGAGCA
rnacentral:lncRNA from 1 species